rnacentral:rRNA from 1 species
CAGUAGCCGCGGUAAUACGUAGGGUCCGAGCGUUGUCCGGAAUUAUUGGGCGUAAAGAGCUCGUAGGCGGUCUGUCGCGUCUGCCGUGAAAUCCUCAGGCUCAACCUGAGGCGUGCGGUGGGUACGGGCAGGCUAGAGUGCGGUAGGGGAGAAUGGAACUCCUGGUGUAGCGGUGGAAUGCGCAGAUAUCAGGAAGAACACCGAUGGCGAAGGCAGUUCUCUGGGCCGUAACUGACGCUGAGGAGCGAAAGCGUGGGGAGCGAACAGGAUUAGAUACCCGCGUAGUCCCUGUCUCUUAUAC